UACGUAGGGUGCGAGCGUUGUCCGGAAUUAUUGGGCGUAAAGUGUGCGCAGGCGGCCGCGCAAGUCGAGUGUGAAAGCCCCGGGCUUAACUUGGGAAUUGCGCUCGAAACUACGUGGCUGGAGUGUGGCAGAGGAAGGUGGAAUUCCACGUGUAGCGGUGAAAUGCGUAGAGAUGUGGAGGAACACCAAUGGCGAAGGCAGCCUUCUGGGCCAACACUGACGCUCAUGCACGAAAGCGUGGGGAGCAAACAGG
rnacentral:rRNA from 1 species